CCAUAUCACCUUGAAAUCCGGUUCUCGUACGAUCACCUCAGUUAAGCAACGUACAACGGGCAGUACUUAGAUGGGUGACUGCUUGGGAAUACCAGGCGCUGUAAG